CUACGGGAGGCAGAGUGGGGAAUCUUAGACAAUGGGCGCAAGCCUGAUCUAGCCAUGCCGCGUGAGUGAUGAAGGCCCUAGGGUCGUAAAGCUCUUUCAACUGUGAAGAUAAUGACGGUAGCAGUAGAAGAAACCCCGGCUAACUCCGUGCCAGCAGCCGCGGUAAUACGGAGGGGGUUAGCGUUGUUCGGAAUUACUGGGCGUAAGGCGUACGUAGGCGGAUUAAUAAGUUAGAGGCUGAAAUCCCAGGGCUCAACCCUGGAACUGCCUUUAAUACUGCUAGUCUUGAGUUCGAGAGAGGUAAGUGGAAUUCCGAGUGUAGAGGUGAAAUUCGUAGAUAUUCAGAGGAACACCAGUAAUCACU
rnacentral:rRNA from 1 species